CCCAGCAGGUGGGACCUGGGCUUGAAUAAUGUCACCAGCCUUUGCUCUGUUUUCCUACUGUCCUGAUUCAAGAAGCAAAGCUGGGCUCGGGCUUGUGAGAGUUCGGGGUGGGUGUGCUCUUUUCCAGGGAGGGUAGAGGGAACCGCUGGACCUGACAGGGCCCCCUGAGGUCAGAGAUGUUUAAACAGCGGUGGAAGGUUGAACUCGCUCCCCAGGCCAGCACAGCUCAUCUACUCCCCAUGGGCGGCAGGCUUUCUCCUUCAUGGCCAAACCGCCAGGAAAACCCAGCAAAGCUCCCGGACCUGCCCGGCCACCGAGAUUUAUGCACGCGAAGCACCCCCAUGCUUAAAGAAAAUGCGAGGCUGUAAAGAGAGUGCAUUGUUACGCACGCACAAAUUACGACUAGGAUCUCAAAGCUUCAUUUUUUCGGGAACAUAUCUUCUCGGAGCAUGUUA